AUUGAACGCUGGCGGCGUGCUUAACACAUGCAAGUCGAGCGGUAACGCGGGGGCAACCCUGGCGACGAGCGGCGAACGGGUGCGUAAUACAUGGGAAUCUGCCCAGUUGUGGGGAAUAACCCGGGGAAACCCGGGCUAAUGCCGCAUACGACCUACGGGUGAAAGCGGGGGAUCUUCGGACCUCGCGCAGUUGGAUGAGCCCAUGUCGGAUUAGCUAGUUGGUAGGGUAAAGGCCUACCAAGGCAACGAUCCGUAGCUGGUCUGAGAGGACGGCCAGCCACACUGGGACUGAGACACGGCCCAGACUCCUACGGGAGGCAGCAGUGGGGAAUAUUGGACAAUGGGCGAAAGCCUGAUCCAGCGACGCCGCGUGUGUGAAGAAGGCCUGCGGGUUGUAAAGCACUUUCGGUAGGAACGAAAUACGCCGACCCAAUACGUCGGCGGGCUGACGUUAC
rnacentral:rRNA from 1 species